AUCCAGCUGAUGAGUCCCAAAUAGGACGAAACGCGCGUCGAACUGGAU
rnacentral:hammerhead_ribozyme from 1 species